rnacentral:rRNA from 1 species
CGUAGGGUCCAAGCGUUAUCCGGAAUCACUGGGCGUAAAGCGUGCGUAGGUGGCGCGUUAAGUGAGAUGUUAAAACGUGGGGCUCAACCCUGUCGGUGCAUCUCAUACUGGCGUGCUAGAGGACAGCAGAGGCAAGUGGAAUUAGCAGUGUAGCAGUGAAAUGCGUAGAUAUUGCUAGGAACACCAAUGGCGAAGGCAGCUUGCUGGGCUACUCCUGACACUGAGGUACGAAAGCGUGGGGAGCGAACAGGAUUAGAUACCCUGGUAGUCCACGCCGUAAACGAUGCAUACUAGACGUAUGGGGUAUCGACCCCCUGUGCGUCGAAGCUAACGCGAUAAGUAUGCCGCCUGGGAAGUACGGCCGCAAGGCUA